rnacentral:rRNA from 1 species
GUUGAACGCUGGCGGCAGGCCUAACACAUGCAAGUCGAGCGGCAGCGGAAAGUAGCUUGCUACUUUGCCGGCGAGCGGCGGACGGGCGAGUAAUGUCUGGGAAACUGCCUGAUGGAGGGGGAUAACUACUGGAAACGGUAGCUAAUACCGCAUAACGUCGCAAGACCAAAGAGGGGGACCUUCGGGCCUCUUGCCAUUAGAUGUGCCCAGAUGGGAUUAGCUAGUAGGUGGGGUAACGGCUCACCUAGGCGACGAUCCCUAGCUGGUCUGAGAGUAUGACCAGCCACACUGGACCUGAGACACGGGCCAGACUCCGACGGGAGGCAGCAGUGGGGAAUAUUGCACCAUGGGCGCAAGCCUGAUGCAGCCAUGCCGCGUGUAUGAAGAAGGACUUCGGGUUGUAAAGUACUUUCAGCGGGGAGGAAGGUGUUGAGGUUAAUAACCUCAGCAAUUGACGUUAGCCGCAGAAGAAGCACCGGCUAACUCCGUGCCAGAAGCCGCCGUAAUAC